UACGGAGGGUGCAAGCGUUAUCCGGAUUCACUGGGUUUAAAGGGUGUGUAGGCGGAUUUUUAAGUCAGUGGUGAAAUCUCCGGGCUCAACCCGGAAACUGCCAUUGAUACUAUUAGUCUUGAAUUCUGUUGAGGUGGGCGGAAUACAUCAUGUAGCGGUGAAAUGCUUAGAUAUGAUGUAGAACACCGAUUGCGAAGGCAGCUCACUAAGCAGACAUUGACGCUGAGGCACGAAAGCGUGGGGAUCAAACAGG
rnacentral:rRNA from 1 species